AGUGCUUCAAUGUGAACAUUAAGCACCAUAUUGGUGCAAUUUACGUUUUAAAGCCCUUUUCCUACACCGUGAAAGCGAUCACAAAGCAACUCUGUAAUACUUGUUUGC
rfam:Trabulsiella guamensis ATCC 49490 GTGT.assembly.114, whole genome shotgun sequence.